rfam:Triticum aestivum genome assembly, contig: Triticum_aestivum_CS42_TGACv1_scaffold_050369_1BS
AUAAUACUCCCUCCGUCCCAAAAUACUUGUCACCGAAAUAGAUAAAAAGGGAUGUAUCUAGAACUAAAAUACGUCUAGAUACAUCUCCUUUUAUCCAUUUUGAUGACAAGUAUUUUCGGACGGAGGGAGUACAAA